UGGGGAAUCUUGCGCAAUGCGCGAAAGCGUGACGCAGCAACGCCGCGUGGGGGAAGACGGCCUUCGGGUUGUAAACCCCUUUCAGUUGGGACGAAGCCUCUACGGUUAAUAGCCGUAUGGGGUGACGGUACCUUCAGAAGAAGCCCCGGCUAACUACGUGCCAGCAGCCGCGGUAAUACGUAGGGGGCAAGCGUUGUCCGGAAUUAUUGGGCGUAAAGCGCGUGUAGGCGGUUCGAUUAGUCUGCUGUAAAAGUCGGAGGCUCAACCUCCGAAAGCCAGUGGAUACUGUCGGACUAGAGUACGGAAGAGGCGAGUGGAAUUCCUGGUGUAGCGGUGAAAUGCGCAGAUAUCAGGAGGAACACCAAUAGCGAAGGCAGCUCGCUGGGACGUUACUGACGCUGAGACGCGAAAGCGUGGGGAGCGAACAGG
rnacentral:rRNA from 1 species